GGAGGGAUGGCCGAGUGGACGAUGGCGGCGGUCUUGAAAACCGCUGUGACCGUAAGGUCACCGGGGGUUCAAAUCCCUCUCCCUCCG
rnacentral:tRNA from 1 species